rnacentral:misc_RNA from 1 species
GCAACAUACAUACGCCGACGUGCAUGCAUGGCAUGAGCCAGCAGAUAGAGUACGUUCAAUAAGGUAUCUUUAUUACCUGCUGGGCAACCAAGGUCUGGUUGAACUGUCCACGGCGGCCCCAGUCGCCGACGACGAGGAUGGCGAGCGACCCGUCGGCCUUGGUGGGCGUGUGCUGCACCCGCGGCAGCGCAGCAUCCGCCGUCGUCGGCGCCAGAAGCAAAGCCGCCGCCGCGGUGGCAACGACGAGGAGCAGCACCAGGCGGCGGAGCCUAUCAUGAGCUGGAGCCAUCGCCACUUACUCUGCUAUAGCAGCCCCGAUGGCCAGUUGCUAGCUGGAGGAACGCAGCGGACAGAGAGUGCGUACCGCAGG